CGACCUAAGAUCAGACGUGGCGACCCACUGAAUUUAAGCAUAUUAGUCAGUGGAGGAAAAGAAACUAACCAGGAUUCCCUCAGUAGUGGCGAGUGAACAGGGAAGAGCCCAGCGCCGAAUCCCCACCGUGAGCGCGGAGCAUGACAUGUGGCAUAUGGAAGACCCACUCCCCGGUGUCGCUCAUGGGAGGGGGGGCAAGUCCUUCUGAUUGAGGCCCAGCCUGUGGAAGGUGUGAGGCCGAUAGCGGCCCCCGGUGCCCGGGCCCGGGUCUUCCCGGAGUCGGGUUGCUUGGAAUGCAGCCCAAAGCGGGUGGUAAACAACAUCUAAGGCAAGAGACCAUAGUCAACAAGUACCAUAAGGGAAAGUUGAAAAGAACUUUGAAGAGAGAGUUCAAGAGGGCGUAAAACUGUUAAGAGGUAAACGGGUGGGGUCCACACAGUCCACCUGGAGGAUUCAACCCGGCGGCGUGCAUUUGGCCGUGCCAGCGGUCCCGGCGGAUCUUUCCCGCUCCCGGUUCCUCCCGACCCCUUUGCGCAUGUAGUUCCUGCGUCCCGCCUCCGCCCUCAUCCCCGCUUCCCCUCUGGGGGAGUGUCGUUGGCGGGCGUGAGGUGUGGCGGGGGGGGUUUGGGGGGCGCACGGGCGGGGCCGGGGGCGGGGUCGGCAGGGGACCACCCCGGCCGGCGACUGGCUGCUACGGGGGGGGGGUGGGGGGGGACUUCCACCAUGGCAGUGCUCCGGGAUGGUUGGGAAGGUGGCUGGGGGGGCGGUGUACCACAUGUGGGGGCACCGAACCACCCCUCCCCGAGUGUUACAGCCCCCUGGCAGCAGCGCUCGCCGAAUUUCGGGGCCAAGGAAUCCAGAUAUCCGUCGCCGCCACGCUCUCCCCCUCCUCCUCCUCCAUGUGGGGAGGAGGGGGCCGGACCAACCCUCCCAUGGUGCGACUGCUCUCCCACCCCUCUUGGCUUUCCUCCCUCUCGGGGGCGGGGGUCCGGGGGGCUGGGCGGACUGUCCCCAGUGCGCCCAGGGCGUUGUCGCGUCAUCAGGCUUGAAGGGGACCCUGUGUCACGCGCUUUUUUAUCAGAGCCCAAGCGCUCAGGGUCGGCGGAGAUGUCGGCCACCCACCCAACCCGUCUUGAAACAUGUACCAAGGAGUCUAACACAUGUGCUGUGUCGGAGGCUUGUCCGAAAGCCGCCGUGGCUCAAUGAAGGUGAAGGGCCCCACCCGGGUCCCCGAGGUGGGAUCCCAAGGCCUCUCCAGUCUGCGGAAGGCGCACCACCGGCCUGUCUUGCCUGCUGCUCAGGGGGGGUGGAGCACAAGCGUAUGCGUUAGGACCCGAAAGAUGGUGAACUAUGCCUGGGCAGGGCGAAGCCAGAGGAAACUGGUGGAGGUCCGUAGCGGUCCUGACGUGCAAAUCGGUCGUCCGACCUGGGUAAAGGGGAGAAAGACUAAUCGAACCAUCUAGUAGCUGGUUCCCUCCGAAGUUUCCCUCAGGAUAGCUGGUGCUCUCGCAGAAAUCGAAAUGCCUGCAGUUUUAUCUGGUAAAGCGAAUGAUUAGAUGUCUUGGGGCCGAAACGAUCUCAACCUAUUCUCAAACUUUAAAUGGGUAAGAAGCCCGGCUCCCUGGUGUGGAGCCGGGCGUGGAAUGCGAGUGCCUAGUGGGCCACUUUUUGUAAGCAGAACUGGCGCUGCGAGAUGAACCGAACGCUGGGUUAAGGCGCCCGAUGCCGAUGCUCAUCAGACCCCAGAAAAGGUGUUAGUUGAUAAAGACAGCAGGACGGUGGCCAUGGAAGUCGGAAUCUGCUAAGGAGUGUGUAACAACUCACCUUCCGAAUCAACUAGCCCUGAAAAUGGAUGGCGCUGGAGCGUCGGGCCCAUACCCGGCCGUCGUCGCUGGCAGUUGGAAUGGGACUGGAGUGGCCACGGGCGCACGUCUCCCGGCGGGCGUGGUGGGCGUCGCAUGCCGCCACCCCUCGGGUCUUGCCCCCGAGGUGUUGGGCCCCUGGACGCUAUGCCUUGAUGAGUGGGAGGGCCGCUGCAGUGAGCCUUGACGCCUAGGGCGCCCGCCCGGGUGGAGCCACCACAGGUGCAGAUCUUGGUGGUAAUAGCAAAUAUUCAAUCUAGAACUUUGAAGGCCGAAGUGGAGAAAGAUUCCAUGUGAACAGCAGUUGAACAUGGGUCAGUCAUUCCUGAGAGAUGGGCGAGUGCCGUUCCGAAGGGAUGGGUGAUGGCCUCCGUUGCCCUUGGCUGAUCGAAAGGGAGUCGGGUUCAGAUCCCCGAAUCCGGAGUGGCGGAGAUGGGCGCCGAGAGGCGUCCAGUAUGGUAAUGCGACUGAUCCCGGAGAAGCCUGCGGGAGCCCUGGGGAGAGUUCUCUUUUCUUUGUGAAGGGCAGGGCGCCCUAGAAUGGGUUCACCCCGAGAGAGGGGCCCGGAAAGCAUCGCGGUUCGGGCGGCGUCCGGUGAGCUCUCGCCGGCCCUUGAAUAUCUGGGGGAGAGGGUGUAAAUCUCACGCAGGGCCGUACCCAUAUCUGCAGCAGGUCUCCAAGGUGAACAGCCUCUAGCAUGUUGGAACAAUGUAGGUAAGGGAAAUCAGCAAGCCGGAUUCGUAACUUCCGCAUAAGGAUUGGCUCUAAGGGCUGGGUCACUCAGGCUGGCGCAAGAAGCGGGGCUGGGCGCGCCGCGGCUGGACGAGGCGCCACCGCCCUCUCCCACGCCCGGGGAGACCCCCUUCCCUUUCCUGGCCGCCCGGACCCACCCUCACCUCUCCCCGAGAGACCCCCAUUGUUUCUCCCCCUCGCCAGGUGUGAGGGCCGGCAGGUUCAGCCCCUCACGAGCUGGAGCAGGAGGAACCCCUGGGUCCCCGUUCAGAUGUGGGGGGAGUCCCGGACACUGGGGGGGGGGCAGCGUCGGCGACUCUGGACGCGAGCCGGCCCUUCCCAUGGAUCGCCCCAGCUGUAGCGGGUAUCGCGCCUGUACCUGGGGAGACCGGCGGGUCACUGGCACAGGGGUUUGGGGAGGUUCUGGUGUGGGACCCCGGGGCCACUCUCGUGGUCCCGGCGGCCCCGUGUGUCUUGCCCCCAUGAUCCUCCCCGCACCGGCGCUUUGCCUGCAGGGUCCGCUUCCCCGGGCCGCGGUUUUUCCCCUGAGAGGCGCUUCACCUAGGCUGGCGCCUAGCAGCCGGUUUAGAACUGGUGCGGACCAGGGGAAUGCGACUGUUUAAUUAAAACAGAGCAUCACAGAAGGCCCGCGGCGGUAUUGAUGCGAUGUGAUUUCUGCCCAGUGCUCUGAUCGUCAAAGUUAAGAAAUUCAAUGAUGUGCAGGUAAAUGGCAGGAGUAACUAUGACUCUCUUAAGGUAGCCAAAUGCCUUGUCAUCUAAUUAGUGAUGCGCAUGAAUGGAUGAACGAGAUUCCCACUGUCCCUACCUACUAUCCAGAGAAACCACAGCCAAGGGAACGGGCUUGGCGGAAUCAGCGGGGAAAGAAGACCCUGUUGAGCUUUACUCUAGUCUGGCACAGUGAAGAGACAUGAUAGGUGUGGGAUAAGUGGGAGGCCCCUGGCUCCCCGUUUCUGUUUUUCCAUGAGGGGUUGGGGCAGGGGGUCCGCGCUUGGGUGUCCUAAGGCGAGCUCAGGGAGGACAGAAACCUCCCAUGGAGCAGAAGGGCAAAAGCUCGCUUGAUCUUGAUUUUCAGUAUGAAUACAGACCGUGAAAGCGAUCCUUCUGACCUUUUGGGUUUUAAGCAGGAGGUGUCACAAAAGUUACCAUAGGGAUAACUGGCUUGUGGCGGCCAAGCGUUCAUAGCGACGUCGCUUGUUGAUCCUUCGAUGUCGGCUCUUCCUAUCAUUGUGAAGCAGAAUUCACCAAGCGUUGGAUUGUUCACCCACUAAUAGGGAACGUGAGCUGGGUUCAGACCAUCGUGAGACAGGUUAGUUUUACCCUACUGAUUAUGUGUUGUUGCCAUGGUAAUCCUGCUCAGUAUGAGAGGAACCGCAGGUUCAGACAUUUGGUGUAUGUGCUUGGCUGAGGAGCUAAUGGGACAAAGCUACCAUCUGUGGGAAUAUGGCUGAACACCUCUAAGUCCCCCCAUGGGCGUCGGGACCGGGGUCCGGUGCAGAGAGCCACUCAUCCCAGGAAAUGGGGGUGAGCGGGAUGAGUUUCCGGAGGCAAGGCCAGAGAGGUUCCGGCGCCUCUUUUUUUCUUUUCCCUUCCCUUUCCUCCGUUUUUUUUUUUUUUUUCCGGGUUCCGGUAGACCACUUCCAAGGGUACUUGGUCUCUUUUUUUUCCCAACUCUGGGAGGUCGAUCAGAUAUCUGGUCUGGUCUCUUUUUUUUUUUAAAUAUAUAUAUAUAUAUAUGUAUAUAUAUGUAUAUAUACAUAUAUAUAUAUACACACAUAUAUAUGUAUGUAUGUCUGUGUCUCUGUCUCCCCAUCCCCCUUUUUGCGGGUCCCCUUUUAUUGAGCUGGUUUUUUGUUUGUUUGUUUGUUUUAAAUUAUAUUGUGAGGUAGCCCAGUUGCCUUGUUUCACAGAGUAUUAUUGUUCAACAGAAUAUUAUAUGUAUGUGUGUGUAUUAUAUAUA